rnacentral:lncRNA from 1 species
AGUGAGUACCUGUGAGAUUGAGCUGCUGAGGGCCUUGGUGUGGGCGGGACUGGAGAGCCUCUGGUGGCUUCCUUCUGUGAUGGCUGUUGCAUUUGUCCCUGCUUUGUGAGCACAGUGGAUUAUCCGGUGGGCAGUUUCAUUUGUUGAGAUGUACUGGUCUAUCGACCCCUCCUUAUUGACCUUCCUUCCUCUUUUAGACUCUGCUUUCUGGCUCAACGCCUCUCUAGGAGGCCCUCUGACCCAACAUCAGCUCUGCAGGGUAUCCAUGGUGAUGCUUCCUAGGGGUGGAGAGAGUCCCUACCCUGCAUGCCCUAUUCCCCAAUCCCAGGCUCAGGCAUUCAGGGCACCUCUCUGGACUGCAAGCCUUUGGACAGAGGCUCUGCACAUCGGGGCAGGAGGCACCCAGCUCUCCUUGCUUGAUGUCAGACAGGAACAGCAGAGGUAGGGGAGAAGGGGAGGUAGCUUUCUCCAGUAACGUAAAUCAGGCCCCGUGGGAUUCCCCGAGCUGAAGCCAGCACACCCUUCUGAGUGGCAGUGACCUUACUGUGUAAGACUCACCGUAAGAUUUCUGAGCAUAAGAAAUGCCUGUAGCCCUGACUCAGGAAGCUGGAACAGGGCUGCCGUGACUACAAUGCCAAAGUUGGUCGGACUACAGUGAGAACUUCUGUUUUAAAAACCAAAACAAAGAAAGAAAG